UACGAAGGGGGCUAGCGUUGCUCGGAAUCACUGGGCGUAAAGGGUGCGUAGGCGGGUCUUUAAGUCAGGGGUGAAAUCCUGGAGCUCAACUCCAGAACUGCCUUUGAUACUGAAGAUCUUGAGUUCGGGAGAGGUGAGUGGAACUGCGAGUGUGGAGGUGAAAUUCGUAGAUAUUCGCAAGAACACCAGUGGCGAAGGCGGCUCACUGGCCCGAUACUGACGCUGAGGCACGAAAGCAUGGGGAUCAAACAGG
rnacentral:rRNA from 1 species